rnacentral:rRNA from 1 species
GGGAGCUUGGAGACAGGUGCUGCACGGCUGUCGUCAGCUCGUGUCGUGAGAUGUUGGGUUAAGUCCCGCAACGAGCGCAACCCUCGUCACUAGUUACUAACGGUUCGGCCGAGGACUCUAGUGAGACUGCCUUCGUAAGGAGGAGGAAGGUGAGGACGACGUCAAGUCAUCAUGGCCCUUACGGCUAGGGCAACACACGUGCUACAAUGGCCAGGACAAUGAGACGCGAUACCGCGAGGUGGAGCAAAUCUAUAAACCUGGUCUCAGUUCGGAUUGUAGUCUGCAACUCGACUACAUGAAGCUGGAAUCACUA